UCUCCCUGUUUUUGUAUUAUUUUUGCUUCCUUCCCCUUACAUUCAUCAAAUAACUAUUUUAUGCAAGAAAGCAAACAAGUUGUCUACUUAGUAUCUCUCAUUUAUAAAAUGUGCUGCAGUUAAACUCUAAAGUUAAAAAAUGUAACUACCCCCUGAGCCCUUAAAGAGCACUACUGUACCCCAAAGAAUUACCACACACAUACUUCUGCAAUGCUUCCAAAUUCAGAAUAUGCAUACACAUUACUCAAGUAACUCCUUCCAAAAUAAAUCUGGUAACGGCUUAAAAGAAGUAAAACUGUUAUCUACUUUGUAAAGCAGAAUAUUUAACUCCCAAGCACACAUCUUUUCCUAAACCACAGAUCAUUCUAUUACCAGAAAUUGACACUUCCCCCUCACUGAUGAUCAGAAACUGACUAGUGUUCAUUUCUGUCUCUGCAUAAACCUAAAGAGACAGAGAGAGAGAGAGAGAGAGAGAGAGAGAGAGAGAGAGAAAGGAAGGAAGGAAGGAAGGAAGGAAGGAAGGAAGGAAGGAGGAAAGAAAGAAAAAGAAAACUGAAGGCACACAAUUUAUAUGACAUUCAAAGUAUGGGUGGUUUCACUGUGUGGUAUAAUUACUCUACCUGCACUUUUUGUUCAAGCUAACUUUUCAGAACAUCUUUUCAACGUAUGCAUAUGAAACAUAACGGAAGAGCACAUGU